rnacentral:rRNA from 1 species
GACGAACGCUGGCGGCGUGCCUAAUACAUGCAAGUCGAGCGCAGGAAACUGACGGAACUCUUCGGAGGGAAGGCAGUGGAAUGAGCGGCGGACGGGUGAGUAACACGUAAGGAACCUGCCUCAAGGAUUGGGAUAACUCCGAGAAAUCGGAGCUAAUACCGGAUAGUUCAUCGGACCGCAUGGUCCGUUGAUGAAAGGCGCUUCGGCGUCACCUUGAGAUGGCCUUGCGGUGCAUUAGCUAGUUGGUGGGGUAACGGCCCACCAAGGCGACGAUGCAUAGCCGACCUGAGAGGGUGAUCGGCCACACUGGGACUGAGACACGGCCCAGACUCCUACGGGAGGCAGCAGUAGGGAACCUUCCACAAUGGACGAAAGUCUGAUGGAGCAACGCCGCGUGAGUGAUGAAGGUUUUCGGAUCGUAAAACUCUGUUGUAAGGGAAGAACACGUACGAGAGGGAAUGCUCGUACCUUGACGGUACCUUACGAGAAAGCCACGGCUAACUACGUGCCAGCCGCCGCUGUAA